CACAAUGAUGUCAUUACAGUCCCAUUGUCCUCUUCAGGAAGAACGCCUCAGGCGGGGUGACGACCUCAGAUUACAGAUGGCCCUAGAAGAAAGCCGAAGAGACACGGUUAAGGUUCCAAAACAGAAGGAGCAUGGCUCCCACCCACAGCAGACCACUCUGUUGGAUUUAAUGGACGCCCUCCCCAGCUCAGGCCCUGCUGCCCAGAAAGCAGAGCCCUGGGGCCGGUCAGCCUCAGCUAACCAGACAAACCCUUGGGGCGGGCCGGCGGCCGCAGCCAGCACUUCAGACCCCUGGCCACCGUUCGCUCGGUUCCCUGGAUGUUUGCCGAAGUGUACCAAAUGCCAGGCUCUGUCCUGCUAUCCAGGGACCCAGACACAAACAGGUAAUGGUCCUGCCUUCAAGGUCCUGGGCAGAUGUGGGCAAGAUGGGGAUACCAGCGUCCUGGGACGGCGCUUAGUUCAGGAGGCUGGUGGGCAUGAGGCAGGCGUCUUGGAGCAAUCUGCAAGGAAGAGCAGGAGGUGACCAGGCCAAGAAGAGGCAAGGGUGUUCCCAGCAGAAGGCUGGCCUUGUGAGAGCCUGGGGGCACGCAGUGGUUUGGUGGGUGCAGAGACAGGCCAUGGGGAGCAGGGACGUGGGGUCAGGGCCCUGCCCACUCAGGGCUUGGCAGCCAUGUCCAGAAGGCCGUGUCAGCCCCAGAUGUCCUUUGGAGAUGCAGUUGGCGUCGGGGACCUCGGCAGACCCCCAAACUCUGUUUGGCAGGCGCCCUCUGGGCCUUGGGGCAAACUGCAGGCCAUUGCAGGUCUCGCUCACUGAAAGCCAGAGUCCCAUGGCAGCCCGGAGCUUGGCGGUUCACGUGGUCCAUGGCCUGUGUACUGUGGCCCCAGGGAGCUUGUGGGCUAAAGUCUUGCUGAGCAUACAUGGGGAUAGUGAAGGCGGUUCUGGAAAUGCCCACCUGGGCCCCUUCCAGACCGUGGCUUUUGACUUUUGUGUUAAGUCUGAAAAAUAGUUGCUCUGUAAUGUGAUGACCACCUUGAGUUGUGGGUAGGAUGUUCUUCAGGAAAGACUCUCAGUCCCGUUCAAAGUUGUGUAAUGGGUCACGAUGCAGACAGGACAUUUUUCUAGUGGCCAGGAAGGCAAGCAGUCACCCUAGAGCCAGGUGAGUUUAACAUUAUGCUGUCAGCG